UUCGACGAGCAGGUGUCCACACACUUUAGGUCAUGUAGUGUACAUGUUGGCAAGUAUCCGGCCAGCAACGUUCACUUGUCAGCGGCAACAGCUUUCACAGGCUCAUCAUUUGUACAAAUACAGAAGGUAAAACACUUCAUUAUUUUGAUAAAUUGUUUCACAAUUGGGUUAUCACAUUUGUGUAAACUGACAUUAUUUUCUACUUCUUAGAUGCAUAUAAUGUCCAGGGCAUAACCUAUUCUGGUGGAACCAACCUGAUCACUGUGUUCACCAUUCUAUUUCACUUCACAUCUUAUGAUAUCUUUUUGUGAAAAAGAAAGGUGAACGCAGUGAUAAGGUUGGUUACACCAGGCUAAUCAUAACCUCCAUUGGUAAUGUAAUCAGUGCUUUGUGUGUGUGUCUUUAUGUGUGACAGACCAGUAUCUUUGAUGAGCGGCCAGGAGCUGAUCCAUGCUCAUCAAUGGGGCUCUGGCAAAGAGCCUUCAUCCUCACCUCUUUCUUGCCUGUUCACCAACUGUUGUCCAUGGAGAGAACAGAAUUAAUACAUGAGAUGCAGAGAGGCCUGGCACUCAACACAUCCACUCAACACAUUCACAAUGAGGUGAUUACUAAUAGUACAUUACAACACAAAUGUCCAGUAAUAGCAACACCCUUUUCAUUCCAUGUGUCACUGCUGAAAUCUGCCAAUUUCUACAGAUGGACAGGAGGUGCUUUUGCCAGACGGCAGCCUCAGUCAUUUGAUGGGGAGACCAUAAUUGAGUAGGUUUUAUCUGACCUGUUUAAACUUCAGCAUUGUGCCUGUUUGUGUGUCAUAUAUUACCAAUCCUAUCUGCCAUAGGUAGUUGAACAGUGACUAUGUGUGUAUGUGUUCACAGAAACAUGCAUGGGGCAAACCUUGUGUAUUCUGCACCAAGAUCAGGGAACAUGGGGAAGGUAGCCCUACUACCACUAGACAAAAUGCCAAUAGGCACAGUAUCUGUAUCGGCUAGGAAUAACAAUGAAAGAUGAAAGGUGCACAUCAAAUAAAAUAACAUUUUAUUUGUCACAUACACAUGGUUAGCAGAUGUUAAUGUGAGUGUAGCGAAAUGCUUGUGCUUCUAGUUCCGACCAUGCAGUAAUAUCUAACGAGCAAUCUAAUCUAACAAUUUCACCAGAACUACCUUAUGCACAAGUGUAAAGGAAUGAAUAUGUACAUAAAAAUAUAUAAAUGAGUGAUGGCUGAAUGCCAAAAACAAGACUCAGUAGAUGCUAGAGUACAGUAUAUACAUAUGAGAUGAGUAAUGUAGGGUAUGUAAACAUUAUAUAAAGUUGCAUUGUUUAAAGUGGCUAGUGAUACAUUUAUGAGAGCGGGGUGAACAGAAAGUGCCUGUGGUUGUUGUCCUUGAUGAUCUUUUUGGCCUUCCAGUGACAUUGGGUGGUGUAGGUGUCCUGGAGGGCAGGUAGUUUGCCCCCAGUGAUGCGUUAUGCAGACCUCACUACCCUCUGGAGAGUCUUGCGGUUGUUGGCAGAGCAGUUGCCGUACCAGGCGGUGAUACAGCCCGACAGGAUGCUCUCGAUUGUGCAGCUGUAAAAGUUUGUGAGUGUUUCUGGUGACAUGCCAAAUUUCUUCAGCCUCCUGGGGUUGAAGAGGCGCUGCUGCGCCUUCUUCACCAUGCUGUCUGUGUGGGUGGACCAUUUCAGUUUGUCCGGGAUGUGUACGCCAAAGAACUUAACUUCCCACCUUCUCCACUACUGUCCCGUCGAUGUGGAUAGGGGGGUGCUCCCUCUGCUGUUUCAUGAAGUCCACGAUCAUCUCCUUUGUUUUGUUGACAUUGAGUGUGAGGUCAUUUUCCUGACACCACACUCCGAGGGCCCUCACCUCCUCCCUGUAGGCCGUUUCGUCGUUGUUGGUAAUCAAGCCUACCACUGUAGUGUCAUCUGCAAACUUGAUGAUUGAGUUGGAGGCGUGCAUGGCCAUGCAGUUAUGGGUGAACAGGGAGUACAGGAGAGGGCUGAGAACGCACCCUUUUGGGGCCCCAGUGUUGAGGAUCAGCGGGGUGGAGAUUUUAUUACCUACCCUCACCACAUUGUUAUAUUAGCAGAACACUGCUUCUAUGGUAUAAUGUAAAGGGUUGUUUAUUGUACAUGGACUUGUUCCUACAUUUGAAAGUUAUCAAAACACUUAGUUUAGAAUAUAUUUUUACUUAUAACUCAUUGUGUUCCUUGUGUAUUCUUUUUCUGUAAUUUUUCUCUGCAUUGUUGAAGGGCAUUUCACUGUUAGUCUACACCUGUUGUUUACGAAGCACGUGACAAAUAAAACAUUAUUAUUAUUUUUUUGAUCUACAUAAAUUCAGCAAAUGCAUUCUUAUUUUACUCUGUAGGCUACUGACCUAUUCAAAGCUUCAUCUGACAUCUCACCUUACAUCUGCCUGUAGUUAUUUAACUCAACCUGCAGGAGGUUUGUUUGUUGUGAUUGAUUGUGGGAGGGGCAAGGUUCUGAUAGAUGGGUGUAUCUUGGUGGUGGUAAGGACACCUAAG
ensembl:lncRNA